GUGCUCACUUCGGCAGCACAUAUACUAAAAUUAGAACGAUACAAAGAUUAGCAUGGCCCCUGCACAAGGAUGACACACAAAUUCAUGAAGCAUUCUGUAUUUUU
rnacentral:snRNA from 1 species